CCAGACUCCUACGGGAGGCAGCAGUAGGGAAUUUUGCGCAAUGGGGGAAACCCUGACGCAGCAACACCGCGUGAAUGUUAAGCCCUUCGGGGUGUAAAGUUCUGUCAAUAGGGACGAAUUUUGACUGUACCUAUAAAGAAAGCACCGGCUAACUCCGUGCCAGCAGCCGCGGUAAUACGUAGGGAGCAAGCGUUGUCCGGAAUUACUGGGCGUAAAGGGCGCGUAGGUGGGCGCUUAAGUCAGGUGUGAAAACUCCGGGCUCAACCUGGAGACUGCACUUGAAACUGGGUGUCUUGAGGGCAGGAGAGGAAAGUGGAAUUCCUAGUGUAGCGGUGAAAUGCGUAGAUAUUAGGAGGAACACCAGUGGCGAAGGCGACUUUCUGGACUGUACCUGACGCUGAGGCGCGAAAGCGUGGGUAGCGAACGGGAUUAGAUACCCUAGUAAUA
rnacentral:rRNA from 1 species